ACUCAAAGGAAUUGACGGGGGCCCGCACAAGCGGCGGAGCAUGCGGAUUAAUUCGAUGCAACGCGAAGAACCUUACCAAGGCUUGACAUACACCGGAAUCACUCAGAGAUGGGUGCGUCUUCGGACUGGUGUACAGGUGGUGCAUGGUUGUCGUCAGCUCGUGUCGUGAGAUGUUGGGUUAAGUCCCGCAACGAGCGCAACCCUCGUUCCAUGUUGCCAGCAGCACUUCGGUGGCUGGGGACUCAUGGGAGACUGCCGGGGUCAACUCGGAGGAAGGUGGGGAUGACGUCAAAUCAUCAUGCCCCUUAUGUCUUGGGCUUCACGCAUGCUACAAUGGCCGGUACAAAGGGCUGCGAUACCGUAAGGUGGAGCGAAUCCCAAAAAACCGGUCUCAGUUCGGAUUGGGGUCUGCAACUCGACCCCAUGAAGUCGGAGUCGCUAGUAAUCGCAGAUCAGCAACGCUGCGGUGAAUACGUUCCCGGGCCUUGUACACACCGCCCGU
rnacentral:rRNA from 1 species